rnacentral:SRP_RNA from 1 species
CGGCGCGCGCCCGACAAUUGUACGAACCGAAUCUGGUCAGAUCCUGACGGAAGCAGCCAUAAGGCCCUCGUGCAGUGUGUUGUGGAGGCGCGUCGGGU